UGGAGAGAUGCGAGAGUGGUUGAAUCGGACGGUCUCGAAAACCGUUGAACUCGCAAGGGUUCCGAGGGUUCGAAUCCCUCUCUCUCCGU
rnacentral:tRNA from 1 species